UUAAGCUCCUGCACUUUGUUGUCUUUCUUGCUUCCACCUUAGAUGCAUUUGUGGGCAGCUCAGGCCCAUUUGUUCUUGUGCCAGUGAUAACUUUGAUUCAGUAGCUUUUGGGAUAGGGCACGUCCAUAUUUGUUGCAUCAGGAAUAUCAAGGGCCCAGCACAACUAUAAGGUGGUGGUGAAGGAUUUCUAGUGCUGGUAGCUCAGGGUCUUUCCUGGAACAAUCAUGGUGCAUCUCCUAUGAGUGACCUCAGGGCUCACAGAGGAACCAGCAGCUUUCCAGCUCAGUCAUGAACCUCUACUGUGGGCAGCAGCAGAGACAAAGAACCAUCAGCAGCCUCAGUUGUCAGCUCCUUUGCUCGGACCCUGGGCUCCAGUCUGAAUAGGAUCCUCCUGCUAAUCCAGGGAGGUGGUUUCAUCCUGCACUUCAUGGAGAAGUAAAGGAAGCAGCAGCAAGAGAACAAAAAUAACAUCACUGAGGUCUGGGCAAACAGUUGACUCUCUGGUGUCUCUAAGUUAUUUUUGUUCGAUAUAAUGCAGCAGAGGAGGUUUCCUCAGGAGACUUUAGUUUGCUCUCUACUUCAGGGUCAGUGUUUUAACAACUUAUUUUUCCUCUCAUUGGUACUUCUAUAGUAAAUAUUUCUGCUAGCAUGGCUCAGGUGAGACUGGAAUUAACAUCUGAGACUCUCAGCCUGUCAUACUGCAACAGAAUGAACAGAAUGCCAUGAACACACACUGGGCAUGGCCAUGGGAGCUUUCUUGGGUGCCUCUACACCCACUGCACAGGAGCACAUACGACAGCAAGAGGCAGGGCUGCACACCAGUAAGAGGCAAAACACCAUCAUGAAAAUCCUCCUGUAGCUGAAACCUUACCCAAGAAGCACCAAGGUGAAAAUUUACCUUCAGCUUGUGUUCCAACCCUAAAGCAAAGAGUGUGAUGUUAAGAUUGUGCCAAAGCAUCUCCCCAUAAGGAUGGCAGAUGCCAGGAUCCAGCUGAGCUCAAAGGUAUCAGUAGCUGUGCUCUCUUGCAAAACCAGGUGAGGGGACUCUGACUUCACAAUAUCUCUGCUGCCCCUUCUUGUGCUGUGACAAGGCUCUGCUCUUGUAUGGGUACAUCAACCUUGUGAGCAGCACCAUGCAUCAGACCCUCUCCAUGGGCUGGGAGAGAUGGGGCUGGUUUCUCUCCUAUGUUAAUAUCUGGACUACUGUGCUGUGCAACACAGUGAGGAGCUGCACCGCAGAGGGGCUGCUGCUCUCAUGCUGGCAGAGGCAGGGUCCACCUGCCUGCUUUGUGUCUGGGGCAGCUAGCAGUAGCAGCCUGCUUUUUUCCCUGGGACCCUGCAAUCCCUGGUCUGAUGUUCUAGAGCAAGAUGUUUGUUCAUGGUGCUCAUCCCUCUACUUUUGGGGCAGAAUAGUGGCCAGAGGUGGCUGUGGUGUCAGCCAGAACAAUAACUUUGUGUGCUUCCUGCCUGAGCCUCUGGAAAGCACUGAAGCAAGACAGAUGUGGUGCUCACUCCCUUCCCAGCACUGGCUGUGGGGGCUGUGCUGCAGCCCAGCCUGGCACAAGGAGAGCUUGUCCUACAGGAGGUGACCACUCUAGGAGCUUGCAUGCUGCAGUGGAUUAGUGUGACGGCUGAAUCAGCUUCCCAGCAGUGCUGUGCCCACCCUCCCCAGCAUCUCCCUACAGCAGGAAUGGGAGCUGAGGAUGUGCAGGACUGAAUCUGGCUGAAUAGAGCAGGGUGAGAACGUGGAAAUCAAGACCUUUAAGAUAUUUGGGGUUACAUAAGACUGACCUCAGUCAUUCACACAAAGUUGUAUGGUUUAGUUUGUUUGUUUGUUUUUAAUGGAAGUAUUAAAAAGAUGUGGAACUGAUUAGAGCAAAA